GGUUCAGGUGGUUCAUCAGCUCAUGGUUCCACUGAUUCUAGAUCGGUGAUGAUGGAGGAGCAUGUGGCAGAGGCGGCUUUACUUCAUGGCAGUUAGGGAGCAGAGCAAGCAAGAAAGGGACCAGGCAUAACUUUGAACUAUGUUCCCAGUGGCCUACUUCUUCCUACUAAACCUAUCUCCUAAAGAUUUUAUAAUGUCCUCAAAUAACAAUGCCAGAUAGAGACCAAUUAUCAACACAUGAGCCUGUGAGGAACAUUCAUAUUCAACGAAGUUCCAUAAGCAGAAGAAUAUUCCGUGGGGAGCCUGACCCAAAGCAAUCAUGUGUAGAACUUCAAGUACAAUAUUGAAGAGGUAUGGAAAGAGUGGACAGCCUUGUCUUGUCCCUGAUUUUAGAGGAAUUGCAUUGAGUUUCUCUCCAUUUAAUUUGAUGUUGGCUGCUGGCUUGCUCUAUAUUGCUUUUAUUAUGUUACGGUAUGUUCCUGUUAUCCCUAGUUUCUCCAAGACCUUUAUCAUGAUGGGCCCCCUUCCCUUUGUAAUAAAAGUUCUCACUUAAGUUCUGUCUGCCUGGCAUGUUUGUCCCUUCGCCUCAGGCACCCUUACCUGUCAUGGAAUCCAC
rnacentral:lncRNA from 1 species